UACGUAGGAGGCAAGCGUUGUCCGGAAUCAUUGGGCGUAAAGCGCGUGUAGGCGGCCAGAAAAGUCCGCUGUGAAAACUCGAGGCUCAACUUCGAGCUGUCGGUGGAAACUUUCUGGCUAGAGUCCGGAAGAGGAGAAUGGAAUUCCUGGUGUAGCGGUGAAAUGCGCAGAUAUCAGGAAGAACACCCGUGGCGAAGGCGGUUCUCUGGGGACGGUACUGACGCUGAGACGCGAAAGCGUGGGGAGCGAACAGG
rnacentral:rRNA from 1 species